AACGCACAUUGCGCCCGCCGGUAUCCCGGCGGGCAUGCCUGUCCGAGCGUCAUUUCAACCCUCAGGCUCCGCCUGGUGUUGGGGACCUGCGCCCGCAGCCCCCUAAAGUCAGCGGCGGGUGCGCCCUCGUACCGAACGCAGUAGCACAUCUCGUUCCGGUCCCGGGCGCUCUCCGGCCGUAAAACACGGACGAAAGUCCCCCACGGUUGACCUCGGAUCAGGUAGGAAUACCCGCUGAACUUAA
rnacentral:misc_RNA from 1 species